rnacentral:lncRNA from 1 species
CACCUCUUCCUCGACGAACUCGAAAUCGAGUAUGACGAGACAGAACACUACGUCGUGAUCAAACACGCUGCUCUAUUCACCUCCACCAUCAUGAGCAAGCUGUUGGCCCGACCAAAUGUGAAGCUCUUCAACGCGGUGGCAGCCGAGGAUUUGAUCAUCAAAGGAGGAAGAGUCGGUGGCGUGGUGACCAACUGGGCUCUAGUGGCGAUGAACCACGACACACAGUCGUGUAUGGACCCUAAUGUGAUGGAAGCUAAGGUGGUUGUGAGCUCAUGUGGGCAUGAUGGUCCGAUGGGUGCCACCGGAGUCAAGAGGCUUAGAAGCGUAGGGAUGAUCGAGAGCGUUCCAGGGAUGAAGGCGCUUGACAUGAACACAGCGGAAGACGCGAUCGUGAGGCUUACGAGAGAGAUCGUUCCUGGUAUGAUCGUCACAGGGAUGGAAGUUGCAGAGAUUGAUGGAUCUCCAA